rnacentral:rRNA from 1 species
ACUACGGGGGGCAGCAGUGGGGAAUAUUGGGCAAUGGACGCAAGUCUGACCCAGCAACGCCGCGUGAAGGAAGAAGGCUUUCGGGUGGUAAACUUCUGUUAAGGGGGAAGAGCAGAAGACGGUACCCCUUGAAUAAGCCACGGCUAACUACGGGCCAGCAGCCGCGGUAAUCCGUAGGUGGCAAGCGUUGUCCGGAUGUACGGGGUGUAAAGGGCGGGCAGCCGGAGAGACCAGUCAGAUGUGAAAUCCACGGGCUCAACCCGUGAACUGCAUUUGAAAAGGUUUCCCUUGAGUGUCGGAGCGGUCAUCGGCUUUCCUUGUGUCGCGGUGACCUGCUUCGAUCUCAGG